AGCCCUAGAAAGCUCCGCAGGCA
rnacentral:tRNA from 2 species